rnacentral:rRNA from 1 species
AGUUCGGAUUGGAGUCUGNAACCCGACUCCAUGAAGCUGGAUUCGCUAGUAAUCGCGCAUCAGCCACGGCGCGGUGAAUACUUCCCGGGCCUUGUACACACCGCCCGUCAAGCCAUGGAAGCCGGGGGUGCCUGAAGUGCGCUGCCGCGAGGAGCGCCCUAGGGUAAAACCGGUGACUGGGGCUAAGUCGUAACAAGGUACC